rnacentral:rRNA from 1 species
GGAAGGAUCAUUAUCGUACAAAAUGUGAGGGGCAUGUGAGGGCUGUCGCUGACUCAAAGUCGUGCACGCCCGAGUGUGUCCUCUCACAUAAUAAUCCAUCUCACCCUUUGUGCAUCGCCGCGUGAGCACCCUUUGGGAUCAUCUCGGAGGGGGCUCGCGUUUUCACACAAACCCCCCUUUUAAAAGUGUAGAAUGACCUCAUUUAUGCGCUAACACGCAAUCAAUACAACUUUCAACAACGGAUCUCUUGGCUCUCGCAUCGAUGAAGAACGCAGCGAAAUGCGAUACGUAAUGUGAAUUGCAGAAUUCAGUGAAUCAUCGAAUCUUUGAACGCACCUUGCGCCCCUUGGUAUUCCGAGGGGCACACCCGUUUGAGUGUCGUGAAAACCUCAACCUCCUUGGUUUCUUCUGGAGACCAAAGGCAGGCUUGGACUUUGGAGGCCCUUGCUGGAACCUCUCUCUUUUGAAGGCCAGCUCCUCUUAAACGAAUUAGCAGGGUCCUCUUUGCCGAUCCUCGACGUGUGAUAAGAUGUUUCCAUGUCUUGGUUUCUGGCUCUGUCACUUUUGGGACCCGCUUCUAACCGUCUUGACCUUGCAUCGAGACAAUGUUCGAGCAUGUCUCCCUUCUCGGGAAGCUCCCUCGACCCCACGAACCCUUGACCUCAAAUCGGGUGAGACUACCCGC